rnacentral:rRNA from 1 species
AUUGAACGCUGGCGGCAUGCCUUACACAUGCAAGUCGAACGGCAGCAUGGAAGAGCUUGCUCUUCUGAUGGCGAGUGGCGAACGGGUGAGUAAAGCAUCGGAACGUACCGUGUAGUGGGGGAUAACGUAGCGAAAGUUACGCUAAUACCGCAUACGCACUGAGGUGGAAAGCAGGGGAUCGCAAGACCUUGCGCUAUACGAGCGGCCGAUGUCAGAUUAGCUAGUUGGUAGGGUAAAGGCCUACCAAGGCGACGAUCUGUAGCGGGUCUGAGAGGAUGAUCCGCCACACUGGGACUGAGACACGGCCCAGACUCCUACGGGAGGCAGCAGUGGGGAAUUUUGGACAAUGGGCGAAAGCCUGAUCCAGCCAUGCCGCGUGAGUGAAGAAGGCCUCGGUUGUAAGUAC